GUGGGAAAGGGGAAAGCACUUCCGGUGCCGACUACUACAGCUCCCAGCAGGCCUUGCGGGAGGAUUCGAAUGCUGAUUGGUGGAGCGGCGGCCAAUCAGAUUGCGCUGAGCCUGAAGCGGUGGGAUGGGAGAAAAAUAAAGGCAACAAAACGGCUCAGGGACCGCCCCGAAACCGAAGAGGGAACCCCAGUCACGCCCCCCACACUCCAGUGCAAUGGUGCAGCCCUGGGCCUUCCAGUAUAGCACACAGAAUGUCGGUUACCCCCACAAAACACAGUGUUACAGUCUUUCGUUGUAACAGGUUCCUCCAAACUCCCCCCCAGAUUGGUCCAGAGUUCCCCGAAAUCCAGCUCAGAGCCCCCCCAGGAAGCACAUGGGGGACCAAUAUGGGUUUGGGGCCCCUAAAAAGGUCCCUGGGGUUUCUAUAUGGCUCUGGGGUGACUCCAUAUGGGUUUGGUUAGACCCUAUAUAGCUAUAUAAUAGGCUUCUAUAGAUCUGGGGAGCUAAAUACAGGUGGGAAGGGUCCCUAAAUGGGUCCGCGGCCUUUCUAUGGAGCUGAGAUGACCCUAUGGGGGUUCAUAGGAGCCCUAUAUGGGCUUGAGGGGUUGUUAUAUGGGUCUAUAAUGGCCCCAUAUGAGUACAGAGUGACUCUACAGGUCUGGGAGGCUCCAUAUAGAUCUACAGGGGCAUUAGAUGGGAGUGGGGGCUCUCUGUAUAAGUCCAAAGUGGCCCUAUAUGCCUCUGAGGGGCUCUACACAGUUCUGUGAGUCCCCCAUUUAGUACAUAGGGUCCCUCGAUCCCCUUCUCCCACCCCUCAGGACCUCUCCCUUCCUUUCGCGCCAAGCCGGUCAGAAGCCACGCCCCCAGGGGCUUCCCCCUCUCUCCCCCCUCACUUCCAAAGGGUUUCCCUCAUCCCUUCCACCAAUCAGCUCGGGGCUUCCCCACCGCCACCUCAACCAAUCAGUGCGGGGCUUCCCCACCCCACUCUGAGCCACAACCCCCGCCCUACUAACCAAUCACCUCGGAGCUACUCCUUAAACCCCGCCCCUCAACCAAUCAGAGAAGGGAGUUCCCCUCUGCCCCCAAGCCCCGCCCUCUGGCCAAUCAAAGCUGGGUUUCCCCUCCCGACAGGGGAACCCCCUUCUUGGCCCCGCCCCCUUCUCUUUGCCAACCAAUCGCGUGGUUUCUCAGCCUCCAGGCCCCGCCCCGCCGCGUGUUUCCCGCGCCCCCGGCCCCCCUUCAUGCCAGCCUCUGCCCGUACCAUGGAGUCCAGCGGGAACCGGGGGUGUGCGGGGGGCUGCGCUGCCUUCCUGAGGCGCUGUGCACGGUGGCCCUGCUGUGCUAUGGGGCCUCCCGGACCCCCGGCUAUGUGGGGCUGGCUGUGUGUGAGCUCAUCUUCGCCAGCAUCGCCGUCGUCCUCUGCAUCACCGGGCUGCACCAGCGCGUGGCUUUGGUGCACUGGGGCUGGACGGUGAGUGGGGGGCGGGC
rnacentral:lncRNA from 1 species